CGAUUGGGCGAAGAAAUUUCAAUUUAAACUGGGGUGAAAAAGGAGCACGGCCAUUGGUGCAAGUUUUUCCUCGUCCUUGACGUUUUAUUCGCGGCCCGAGGGUUUUACAUACAAGGGGUGGACGGAACAGGGUUGGGCCCGGACUAAUGAAUUGAAACUGCCCCCGUGCACAAGAAAAAAAAUCAACUGAAAAGAGAAACAAUGUCAACACGGCAGUGUACACACACAAGGACCCAAUCCAAUCUAGGUCUGAUUGGCCGGGACGACGGCCCGAAACGAACGUUUGUCUUUGAAGUUUGCUUAAAACUGCUCCCGGAAUUUACAACUGGCAAAGAGACGACCCGAAAUCGGGACGAGGUGGAGUAAUUGGACAAAUAGGCGGACGACCCGCUGGGAACGCUUUAAUUGGAAAUCUUUUUGGAAUAUGUCCUCAGCACUUAACGAAGAAAAAACAUUGGUAUUCCUAUAAAAGGAACGGACAGAAGAUAAAGAACGUUGUCGGACGUUAAAACAUGCAGAUCACACGGCGGCACAGUUGAAAGGUUGGCGGUUUUCUCGUUUGGUAACGGAGACGUGAGAACAGCCACUACCGAAACACGAACCAGAUGACAUCUCAUCUCGAUAAUGUGAUGGUACCGCUUGAAUAUUUAAUUCCGGAGACCGAGAACAGGUGUCUUCGGAGGGAUAAUGUGUUUUGAAAGUGUAGGUAUUUUUGUUCUUGUAUGUGACAGAC